rnacentral:rRNA from 1 species
AGAGUUUGAUCCUGGCUCAGGACGAACGCUGGCGGCGUGCUUAACACAUGCAAGUCGAACGAGAAUCUACUGAAAGAGUUUUCGGACAAUGGAAGUAGAGGAAAGUGGCGGACGGGUGAGUAACGCGUGAGGAACCUGCCUUGAAGAGGGGGACAACAGUUGGAAACGACUGCUAAUACCGCAUGAAGCAUAGAGGUCGCAUGAUCUUUAUGCCAAAGAUUUAUCGCUUCAAGAUGGCCUCGCGUCUGAUUAGCUAGUUGGCGGGGUAACGGCCCACCAAGGCGACGAUCAGUAGCCGGACUGAGAGGUUGAACGGCCACAUUGGGACUGAGAUACGGCCCAGACUCCUACGGGAGGCAGCAGUGGGGAAUAUUGGGCAAUGGGCGCAAGCCUGACCCAGCAACGCCGCGUGAAGGAAGAAGGCUUUCGGGUUGUAAACUUCUUUUGUCAGGGACGAAACAAAUGACGGUACCUGACGAAUAAGCCACGGCUAACUACGUGCCAGCAGCCGCGGUAAUACGUAGGUGGCAAGCGUUAUCCGGAAUUACUGGGUGUAAAGGGAGCGCAGGCGGGAUAGCAAGUCAGCUGUGAAAACUAUGGGCUCAACCCAUAAACUGCAGUUGAAACUGUUAUUCUUGAGUGGAGUAGAGGCAAGCGGAAUUCCGAGUGUAGCGGUGAAAUGCGUAGAUAUUCGGAGGAACACCAGUGGCGAAGGCGGCUUGCUGGGCUCUAACUGACGCUGAGGCUCGAAAGUGUGGGGAGCAAACAGGAUUAGAUACCCUGGUAGUCCACACUGUAAACGAUGAUUACUAGGUGUUGGAGGAUUGACCCCUUCAGUGCCGCAGUU